AUGCUAGCUAUGGCAGUAUACAUUCUAAAAUUGGAAUGAUGCAAAGAAGAUUAGCAUUGCCCCUGUACAAGGAUGACAGGCAAAUUCACGAAGCAUUUCAUAUUUUC
rfam:Octopus bimaculoides Scaffold80260_contig_20, whole genome shotgun sequence.